UACGGGGGGAGCAAGCGUUGUUCGGAUUUACUGGGCGUAAAGGGCGCGUAGGCGGUCAGCACAAGUCAGUUGUGAAAUCUCCGGGCUUAACUCGGAAAGGUCAACUGAUACUGUGCGACUAGAGUGCGGAAGGGGCAACUGGAAUUCUCGGUGUAGCGGUGAAAUGCGUAGAUAUCGAUAGGAACACCUGCGGCGAAGGCGGGUUGCUGGGCCGACACUGACGCUGAUGCGCGAAAGCCAGGGAGCGAACGGG
rnacentral:rRNA from 1 species